CUUAGUCGGAGGCGAUAAUUCCGCUUGGUCGUGUACAGCGCGGAUUUGUUUAUGUUUCCUAUACUAUAGCGAUGUUAUAAUAAUGUAUUCUCUAGCUGUAUUCGGUUCCAACGAGUGUUGGAGGAACAUUCUAAGAGAAUUACGAUUUUCGAGUAUGUAUUGGUAACGUUAUUAUUAAAAUAUAAUAUAAUAUUUUAUAUAAAGAGUAAUACUUGCAAUAUUGUAUAUUAAUAACAUUGAAUGUUACUGAUAUAUACUCUGAAAUCAAACAUAGUUGCUUUAGGACAUUUCUCGAACACUCAGAAAGUGUACAUAUACAUGAUAUAUAUUCAUUACAUUUAUCUAAAGUUUUUUUUUUUUUGUUGAAGCUUUGAAACCUCAAAAGAGAGAUUUAUUUAUUUUAUAUGUUGUGUUAACAGUUUACAGUAAAGACUGGAUAAAUGCAAGAAAAUUAGAGCCCAAACAUUGCAUAUAAUAUAUAAUAUAUAUUUGUUAUAUUUAUCUACAUUUUUUAUUGUUAAAGCUUUGAAAGCUCAAAAGAGGGAUUUAUUUAUUUUAUAUGUUGUGUUUAAUAGUUUACAGUAAUGACUGAAUAAAUGCAAGAAAAUUAGAACCCAAACAUUGCAUUUAUCCAGUCGAGGUUUCUAUUCUGUGUUUACUUUAAUUUAGCUCAAGUCGAACGAGUAGAAAAGGACAGAGAGUGAAAGAGAAAGAGGUCCGAAGAACAAAAGCAAAUGGCCGAAACGUAUCGGUGAGACUAUAGAUCCUGUCUUGCACUUAUCCAGUCUUUACUGUAUAUCCGAGAUAAAUAAGCUACAUAGUAUUGGAAAUGCGUCUUUGCUAACAUACUAACCCAAAACGCUAGAGAAGUAUACCUAAAUGCAAUUUUAUUGUGCAAAGAAAUUUAAUUCUUAUUAUUGUUUGUUUAACUCUCAAUGUUAUUACGUAACAAUGUUUUUCAUUUAAUUUCGUACUCGACAAUUAAAAGUAUAUGGUUGAAAGAUCUCAAUAUCAUAUUGAAAAUGCGUGCAAAAAAUAGAAACGUGGAAGAGAUACGCACGAAGGGAAUUUUUCAUGUAAAUUAUUUAUCGCACUCUCGUGUCUGUAUUGGCUCUACAACAGAGUUUAAAAAUCGAAUAAACGAUUUAUAUUUAAUUAUAAAUAAAUGGACGUUAGGUAUUCUUGGAAUUAUCAGGAAAUUAAUCCGUUCGGAAUAUAUUUCCCGUGGAAAAAGUAAAUGAAAUUUUGUGUUAAAUUGUAUAUUUACCCGAUCCUGGAAACGAAUCGAAUGGAGAUGCACGCUGAUGUUCUUGCAAAUGUGAUCGUCGAAAAUAUAAAAUCUUGUUAAUUGAAAAA